UACGGAGGGUCCGAGCGUUAUCCGGAAUUAUUGGGUUUAAAGGGUCCGUAGGCGGGCCGAUAAGUCAGGGGUGAAAGUCUGCCGCUCAACGGUAGAAUUGCCUUUGAUACUGUCGGUCUUGAGUUAUGGUGAAGUUGGCGGAAUAUGUAGUGUAGCGGUGAAAUGCAUAGAUAUUACAUAGAACACCGAUUGCGAAGGCAGCUGACUAACCAUCGACUGACGCUGAUGGACGAAAGCGUGGGGAGCGAACAGG
rnacentral:rRNA from 1 species